GCCAGUGAGACUAGGAAGGACAGGUUUGGGUUUGGGGUUUUUUGUUUGUUUGUUUGUUUGUUUUGGGGGGCCUUCGCGCUGAGCUGCAUCCUCGGCCCUUUUUAUUUGCCGACAGAAUCUGGAUGAGUCAGGCAAUCAUAAGCCUGGGGAAGCGUGUACUGUACUGUGUAAUAAUGAAGACAGCAGUUAUCCGCACUUUGAAAGCAAGUUUUGCAAAAUAGUUACGCACUUCCUUUGAGUCCUUUCUGGCCUCUUACUUGAGGUUCGGGUUCCCCUUCUGUGGCACAGCCUGUCCUGUGUGGACCCAGUAUGGCCGCUGAGGCUGCAGGGAGCUGUUGCGGGGCAUUUGUCCUUUCCCCAAGGUCGCUCCCUUGAAUGUGAUGAGUUCUAAUAAGCCACAUCCUGUAGGACAUCAGCACACCUUUGGGGGCAACACAGGACUGAGAUGUAGCCUGCACAGGUGAGAGACACUUAGAGCCUCCUCUCUGACUCCUGAGAACGGCCGGACCCCCGGGCUCUGGGACCUAGGCCCGAAGCCCUGCCCCUGCUGCAGCCAUCUCCAAGUACACAAAAGAGGCUGAAAGGAGAGCCAGGGGUCCCACCAGCCCCGGAGUUCCUUUGUGUGGAGCCAGCCUGAACCAGGUGCUGCCGCUCAGGGUGACCAGGGGCCUGUGUAGGGGUGAAGGGAUGACGGGGUGUAGGUAUGAAGACAGGGGAGACAGCAGGAAGUGGGGCCUCCAGGGCCUAACUAUCUGGGAAGGCCAGGGCCUUUGGAGCAGUGGCCUCCUGGGGGGACAGAUGGGGAAUAGACCCUGGGAAACACUGGGGGAUCCUCUGGGGCACUUGCAAUGCAUGACUCUACAGGAGAGCUACUGGGUCAGGGUUUUGAUGUUAAAGCUCAGCUAAACUCAGUUAUGCCCCUGUGGGACCUGAAGCUAAAUAUGUAUUAAGGGCCUACUACAUCCCAGACACUUUAGUAAAGAUGGGUAAUACUUAGUGUACAACAAAACAAACACAACACACGCCGCCAGGUGUGCUGGCACACGUCUGCAAUCCCAGCAUUCUGGGAGGCUGAGGCAGGAGGAUAACAAGUUUCAGCCCAGCCCAGGCAAGAACCUGUCAAAAAAUAAAAAGGCUGAGGAGGUAGCUCAAUGUGAGGGCCUUGAGUUCGAUCCCCAGUACUGGAGGGAGAAAAAUACAUUUGAUUUCUGCUGUUAUAGAGCUUUCAGUCUAUGAGAAAAAAGAUACUCAACAAAUAAACGUACAAAUAAAUGCAUAAAUACUGGAUAAAGAAAGGAAGGAAGGGAACGGACAGAAGGCAGAAGGGAGGAAUGAAGCCACUGCUUUCGGGUGGCACAAGGAAGUACUGUAGUAGGAGUGGGACCUGGGCUGAGUGACAGGGCAAACAGGAAGUGAGCACAGAAUUGGGGUAGCACAGAGCCUGCUUCAAAUCUUCCACGCACUGUGGGGAGCAGAGAGCAGCCACCAAGGACUGUGGGGUCCCAAGGGGAGAGCUAUAGGAUGGGAGAUGCUAGAGCACAUUCGACUGCAAACAGGAGCAGUCCCAAUGAGCAAGAGGACAGAGAUCCCAGCUGACUGGCAGUAGCCGACUGGGCACCUCCUGCCUCAGCUCCACUCAGCUUCUGUUGCUGACAAACCACCUUCCCUGUCUCCUCCCUCUCCUGCUUGACUGAGGAAUGCUUUCUUUACAUUAUAGCUUCCAGCUUUUAAAUUUAAACUAUGGACAGUCAUCAUCAUCAUCAUUAUUAUUGUUUUAUUAUUUUGAGACAGAGUUUCAUUAUAUUGCCCAGGCUAACUUGCAAUCCUCCUGUCUCAGCCUCCCAAGCAGCUGUUGUUGCAGGUGUGUGCCACUGCACCUGUGCACCAGAGUUAAAGAUGACAACGUAUCAUUGUUUGUCCCACUGAUUUUUUAAUGUGGUAGAGGUCGACCCCAGGACCUCACAUGUAAAAGCACGAGCUCACAUUUUUUGGGGGGUACCGGGGAUCGAACUCAGGACCUUGCACUUGUGAGGCAGGCAUGGUGCCACUGAGCUAAAUCCCCGGCCCUCUGAAGCACGAGCUUUAUGGUGCACCCCCAGCCCUGCAUUUUGAUUUUGAGGAUUGACACAAUCAUCCCCAGCCCUUUGUAUUGUUUUGAGAUAGGAUCUUGGUAAGUUGCCUAGGCUUUGUUUGAAUAUGCAGUCCUCCUGCCUCAGCCUCCCAGAGUGCUGGUAUUACAGGUGUGUGCCACCAGCUCAGUUUAUGGUUUGAUUCUUGAGGACUUCUUUGUAUCUUUCUUAGUUACUGACUGAUGAGACACUUUCCCUGUGUAGGUACCCAGGCAGUGUGAUUAGUGCAACCUAAUAAAAUCUAUCCUUGCCCCAUAGUAUCACUUAGGAAAAGCUAAUGCCAGCUAAGUACAGGAGUUAUCUUUAAUAAGCACCUUAACUUCACAAGAGCCCUAGUGAACUGUGUUGUCAUCUCAUUUAGAAAUGGAGAGCCAGGUGUGGUGGCACAUGGCUGUAAUCCCAGGCUGAGGCAGGAGGAUCACCAGGAGUUCGAGGCCAGCCUGGACUACAUACUGAGUCUGUAUCAAAAAAAAAACAGAAAAAGAAAUAGAGACACUGAGUCAGGAGACGUGAUGGGAUUUUCCAGGUUACAGAUCCAAUAUGAUAGCAGAUGUGGGUAAUCUAAAAAGCCAGAAUUUCAAAACAGUUCCAGCUGGCUCUUUCCACACGGAGUUUCAUGGCCUUCUGGUUGACCUGCCCACAUCACACAGCCAGGAGCCCUACGGACAGCGGCAGGGAAACAGCUCCUGAUGGAGCCUUUGCUCGGAGGGCAUUUCGAGGACUGUGGGGUCCAUCACCCUGUGCUCGUCGGCCCCCGUUCACAGGUGCAAGAGACUAAAGCAGCCCAGCUCAUGUGGACAGUCAGGCUGCAGUCACAAGUUUAUUCACAAGCCCCAGUUACCCAGGACCAUGUUGAUAUGAUUGUUCUUUUUUAGAAACGAUUUUUUUUCCAGAAAUUUCAACUCAUCAUAGCGAGUGCAUUCACCAGAGUGGGAAGUAGAAUAAAGGCCCCGCCACUCUGUUUUCAGGGGAGGGUGUUUGCAGUCUGGAUAAGAACAUGGGUGUCACCUGUGAGGAUGGGAGACUUGUCACAAGGCACCGCCCUGCCACCGUGCUGCCUGGAACUCUGCCCUGUCCUGGACCCCUCGUCCCCGUACUGAGUGUCCCUGAGUGUCCCUAGCACACCCGGGAGAUGAAACAGCAUGAGUGGGUCACCCUCGUCUGGGCUGAGUCCAUGGUGUCCUGGGGAUGCUGGCCACUGGGGGUCCCUCGCUCCUGCACACCCUGGGCCACUGGCACCCGGAAAAGAUGCCUUCCUUCCUCCAGAGGCUGUCCUGGACACAGAAGCAGGUGAAUUGCUGGCCCACAAUGCAGCCUCAUAGAUCUGUGCCGAGCGGAUCCAAGGGACCAGGGUAGGUGCUGUUGCCUCCACUCACAGUGAGGAGAACAGAGCCCGGCUGUGAUGCUGCUCUGAAGAAGACCGUGCGGCUCGCGCUUAGUCGGGGAUGGGCAGGAAGCGGACGGCGGUAGGCAAUACCGGCGCUUGGGUUGGGGCUCUCAGAACUGGAGCCCUUCCUCCUGACCCCGGCCUCCCAGAGCUCCUGGUCUGAAGCUGAAAUACAGCGAGUGGGUCAGAGACCCCCAGGAAGGGCUGAGGGAGGCGCGGGCGGAGGAGGCCCUGAUCCGGAGAGCCAGCCAGUGCCCGGUACUUCUGAGAGUCCACAGCCCCAGCCCUAAAAGGAGGUCUGCUGGUUUACUUAGGAGAGGCUCCACGGCUGGCACCAGUCACUUCUGACACAUUAGAUAAAGUCUGUCAUUGUGGCAUCUGAGUUCAAGGUUUUACUUCACCUUGAGCAGGAAAACGCAUUUUGCAGCUAGAUCCAUUCACUUCCCAUGGUCUUCAUUUCUCAGAACCAGUUUAUCCAGGCCAAGGCAGACCUUCGUCCAGCCUGAAGAAAACAGCCAUUAAUGAUAGUUAACAUAUUAAUUGCAGAGUGCUUCUCUCUAAGUUUCUGUUGGCAACAAGUUGCAGCCCAGCAGAGCCAGUGAAGUGCAUCCAGCUUCCAUUUACAACCUCUGGGCGGGCUUUUCAUCUUCAUGCUUCAGGAUUUUCAUUAUUAUGGUUGCCAACAGUCCAGGCCUGUAAUUUACAAGUCAGACCCACAUGUCACUUCGAGAGAAACUCAAUCCUAAAAAUAGUCGUGAAACUCAGGAAAACACCAACCCAGAUAAAUAAAUCUCAUGUCAAAUGUAGAAAGCUUGUAAACCCUAGGCUCAGGGUUACACUAACUACUUAAAUUUCAACUGAUUUUAGCAAGUACAUCCACCAGCCCAGGGGAGGUGGCGAAGAUGCUCCCCCUCAGUGUUUUGCUUUCUUCUGUCUGUGACUGUUCAUUCAUUUCUUAGGUAAAAUACUGCUCUUUCUACAACAGCCAGGGUGAAACUUCCAUUUGGACGACAUUCUCCCAAAAUGUUGCACCAUUAAAGGCCAAGGUAGCCUUUCAAGGUGGCCCACACCUGCAUCCCACACUCAGAGGAUGAGGCAGGGGGAGUGAAAGUUUGAGCCCAGCCUAGGCAGUUUAGCAAGAGGUUUCUAGAUGUCCCCCAAAGUGUUGUCCGCUCACAUAGGGCUUUUGGAAGGUGAGUGGGUAACGGGGCACCACUGCUGGCUUGCCCCAGUUAGGUCUGGUUGGAAGUGGGGGGUCACUGGGGGCAGGGGGCAGGGCUUAUCUCCCUGCAGGGCCCCCUCUGCUUCCUGUCUGCCCUGCGGUGAGCAGCUCUCAAACUCCUCCACCACCUCUCUGUGCCCAGGCUCUACCACCACAUCUCUGACCAUGCCAGGACUGAAACUUCUAAAACACAAACCACAGGAAGCCUUUCCUUUAAGUUGCCCAUGCUUGGUAUUUUGUCCUAGCGAGGAGAAAAGUGCCUAAGACACCCUGUCUCAAAAUAGGAAAUAGAAAGGGCUGGAGAUAUGUCUGGGUGGAAGGACCCCACCUGCCUCCUGUGGGUAAGGCCCUGGGUGCCACCCUGUACAGGGGGAAGGGAAGAGCUGUGCAUGUGUGCACAGGCACGGGCCCCUGGGGGGUGGUCAGGGUCCAGAGCCUCACGGGAGGAAGGGUCUCCGGAGAGCAUGAGAAGGCCAACCAUGGGCCGGUGGGCCAGGAGCAGGUUGUGUCCUUCAGAGUGUCUCCUCCGGGAGGCUCUACUCCCUGUUCCCUGGGGUAUAUCUGGCUUAUGGGGCUGUGUCAGCCCAGGUUUCCCAGCAGUCAUGGAUUUUAGAUAAGUGAAGUUCUGAGGGGGCUUUUAUUCCCCCAGCUGGUGAAUCUCAGGUUUGAAUCAUCUUUGAACCAACUCUGGGUCCCCAAAGUCCAAGGAUGUAGAAGGAAAAGCAGCUCCAGCUCAGACUCAGUUUCUCCUCCACUGAUGAUAGAUUCCUCUGACACCGUGUGGUGAGCUUUCCCUGAACGUGAGCAAGUGGCAGCUCCAUAGCCCACCUCAGUGGGGCGCUCUCUG
ensembl:lncRNA